rnacentral:rRNA from 1 species
ACGAACGCUGGCGGCGUGCUUAACCCAUGCAAGUCGAACGGAAAGGCCCCCUUGUGGGGUACUCGAGUGGCGAACGGGUGAGUAACACGUGAGUAACCUACCCUUGACUUUGGGAUAACUUCAGGAAACUGGGGCUAAUACCGGAUAGGAGCUCCUGCUGCAUGGUGGGGGUUGGAAAGUUUCGGCGGUUGGGGAUGGACUCGCGGCUUAUCAGCUUGUUGGUGGGGUAGUGGCUCACCAAGGCUUUGACGGGUAGCCGGCCGGAGAGGGUGACCGGCCAAAUUGGGAUGGAGAUGCGACCCGGCCUCCGCGGGGGGGAGGCGGUGGGGAAUUUUGCACAUGGGGGGGAAGCCUGAUGCAGCACCGCCGUGUGGGGGAUGGCGGCCUUGGGUUUGUAACCCGCUUCCGCCGGUGACGAGGCGUGAGUGAGGGUAAUGGGAAAAGAAGCCCCGGCAAACUACGUG